GGCACGGUGGUUUAGUGGUUAGCACGUUUUCCUUGCAUCUUCAGGGUUGGGGGUUCAAAUCCUGCCUCAGCCA